rnacentral:lncRNA from 1 species
CCUCUCUGACUACCACUUACAUUACCCAAAUUCCUUGGCGGUCUACCCCGUACUGACACAUUACUCGGUCUGGUAUUCUGCACAGUAUUUUGAUCAGCUACCAUCGGACACUCUCGAAUGAAAUGAUCCUUUGAACCACACUUGAAGCAAGACCGAUCAUGUAAUCUGCAAUCUCCAGGAUGCCAUUUCCCACAAUGCUUGCACUCUGAUCUAUUUUUUCGAACACUACCAACGCUAGCAACUGAAGUAUCUCCUGAACUCACAAGGGGUCGAUCUCGAUCAUACUUAGGAAACCCUGCAGUAGCUUUAGAUCGGCUAUGAUCCUCUCUGGAUUUCC